rnacentral:rRNA from 1 species
GAUGAACGCUGACAGAAUGCUUAACACAUGCAAGUCGAUGGGGAAGUGGUGCUUGCCCCAUGGCAACCAUGGCGGACGGGUGAGUAACGCGUAAGGGACUUACCUGCAGGACUGGGAUAACAGGGGGAAACUCCUGACAAGACCGGAUAAUGUCAUGGAGCUGCAUGGCUUUAUGAUGAAAGGAGACGCCUGCGGAGAGCCUUGCGUCCUAUUAGCUAGUUGGUGAGGUAAUGGCUCACCAAGGCGAAGAUAGGUAGCCGGCCUGAGAGGGUGGACGGCCACAAGGGGACUGAGAUACGGCCCUUACUCCUACGGGAGGCAGCAGUGGGGAAUAUUGGACAAUGGGGGCAACCCUGAUCCAGCAAUUCUGUGUGCACGAAGAAGGUUUUCGGAUUGUAAAGUGAUUUCAGCAGGGAAGAAGUAAGUGACGGUACCUGCAGAAGAAGCGACGGCUAAAUACGUG